AAAACGGUUUUUAUGAAAACCAUAAUUUUUCUGAAAAUAACGUUUU
rfam:Gossypium arboreum cultivar AKA8401 contig_14627_5, whole genome shotgun sequence.